UGGGGAAUAUUGCACAAUGGGCGAAAGCCUGAUGCAGCAACGCCGCGUGAGCGAUGAAGGCCUUCGGGUCGUAAAGCUCUGUCCUCAAGGAAGAUAAUGACGGUACUUGAGGAGGAAGCCCCGGCUAACUACGUGCCAGCAGCCGCGGUAAUACGUAGGGGGCUAGCGUUAUCCGGAAUUACCGGGCGUAAAGGGUGCGUAGGCGGUCUUUCAAGCCAGAAGUGAAAGGCUACGGCUCAACCGUAGUAAGCUUUUGGAACUGUAGGACUUGAGUGCAGGAGAGGAGAGUGGAAUUCCUAGUGUAGCGGUGAAAUGCGUAGAUAUUAGGAGGAACACCAGUAGCGAAGGAGGCUCUCUGGACUGGAACUGACGCUGAGGCACGAAAGCGUGGGGAGCAAACA
rnacentral:rRNA from 1 species